AGUGAACGCUGGCGGUAGGCCUAACACAUGCAAGUCGAACGGCAGCACAGUAAGAGCUUGCUCUUACGGGUGGCGAGUGGCGGACGGGUGAGGAAUACAUCGGAAUCUACUUUUUCGUGGGGGAUAACGUAGGGAAACUUACGCUAAUACCGCAUACGACCUACGGGUGAAAGCAGGGGAUCUUCGGACCUUGCGCGAUUGAAUGAGCCGAUGUCGGAUUAGCUAGUUGGCGGGGUAAAGGCCCACCAAGGCGACGAUCCGUAGCUGGUCUGAGAGGAUGAUCAGCCACACUGGAACUGAGACACGGUCCAGACUCCUACGGGAGGCAGCAGUGGGGAAUAUUGGACAAUGGGCGCAAGCCUGAUCCAGCCAUGCCGCGUGGGUGAAGAAGGCCUUCGGGUUGUAAAGCCCUUUUGUUGGGAAAGAAAAGCAGCAGGUUAAUACCCCGCUGUUAUGACGGUACCCAAAGAAUAAGCACCGGCUAACUUCGUG
rnacentral:rRNA from 1 species